GACGAACGCUGGCGGCGUGCCUAAUACAUGCCAGUAGAACGCACAGUUUAUACCGUAGCUUGCUACACCAUAGACUGUGAGUUGCGAACGGGUGAGUAACGCGUAGGUAACCUGCCUGGUAGCGGGGGAUAACUAUUGGAAACGAUAGCUAAUACCGCAUAAUAUUAAUUAUUGCAUGAUAAUUAAUUGAAAGGUGCAAUUGCACCACUACCAGAUGGACCUGCGUUGUAUUAGCUAGUAGGUGAGGUAACGGCUCACCUAGGCGACGAUACAUAGCCGACCUGAGAGGGUGAUCGGCCACACUGGGACUGAGACACGGCCCAGACUCCUACGGGAGGCAGCAGUAGGGAAUCUUCGGCAAUGGACGAAAGUCUGACCGAGCAACGCCGCGCGAGUGAAGAAGGUUUUCGGAUCGUAAAGCUCUGUUGUAAGAGAAGAACGGGUGUGAGAGUGGAAAGUUCACACUGUGACGGUAUCUUACCAGAAAGGGACGGCUAACUACGUG
rnacentral:rRNA from 1 species